rnacentral:snRNA from 1 species
UUUGCCCUACCUUGGGCCG